GGGACAAGGCAGUCUCAGCUCCUGCAGAGCCCAGUGGGGUCUGCUCCUCCCCCUGUUGGGAUGUGGCUCUGUAAGAGCAAGCCAGGCAAGAAAAAACCACGAGUGCCACAAAUGGUGUUAUAAACAUCCAAGUGUGUGCAACAGCUAAAAUUUGGAUACCCAUGUCGGCUUGGCACACGUCACCUCAUCCUUCAUUCCCUAUUUUGCAGUUGAGGAUAUGAGACGCAGAAAGGAUAAGAAAAUCAUCAGAGGUCACACAGGCUAACAUUCCUGCUGUAUUUCCCGCUGACAUUUUGAAUUCCAAAGGGGACUGUUUCCUGAACAGGUGGUGAUGAAGAGCAGCAUCGGAGAGCUGCAGGUGGAAGAGUUGAGAAAGAGCCUGUGUUUUCUCGGCUGGUGCUGGCCAUCCAACAUCUUCAACUUCAGAUGCAAGCUGGUCUUUUGCUGUCUCACUGGAGUUUCGCCAUUGGACAAUUUCCUGUCCAUGGAUCCUCAGGAGAUCAUGCUGAAAUUUCAUUCCCAGUAUCAUCAG